GCCCUGCUGGCGUAAUCGGUAGCGCAUAUGACUUCUACGAUUCUCGUGUCAUCAUAAGGUUGCAAGUUCGAGCCUUGCGUGGGGCU